UACGUAGGGGGGCAAGCGUUGUCCGGAAUUAUUGGGCGUAAAGAGCGUGUAGGCGGUCCGGUAAGUCAGCUGUGAAAGUCAAGGGCUCAACCCUUGAAUGCCGGUUGAUACUGUCGGGCUAGAGUCCGGAAGAGGCGAGUGGAAUUCCCGGUGUAGCGGUGAAAUGCGCAGAUAUCGGGAGGAACACCAAUGGCGAAGGCAGCUCGCCGGGACGGUACUGACGCUGAGACGCGAAAGCGUGGGGAGCAAACAGG
rnacentral:rRNA from 1 species